rnacentral:lncRNA from 1 species
AUCCACCAUGUGAGGACACAGAGAGAAGACACCAUCUAUGAACCAGGAAAUGGGCCCUCACCAGACACUGAAUCUGCUGGUGCCUUGAUCUCAGACUUCUGACUCUCCAGAACUGGUCCAAGGACGUAACCAGAUCAUACAACACGCGCCAGGAAAGCCCAAAAGAGGGGUGAUCCCUCGAUGGAGGUGCCGCAUCAGCGUUUUCUCACGUGGCCUCCGGGGCUCUAUGAAUGGCAAGAGAUUGCAUUCCUUCUACUACCCCUCCCAGCCUCCAGCCGGGACAAGGAACUGGAGCAAACUCGGGGCUGCAGUUCCGACUGGACUCGCCCACCUGGGCGCGCCGGCUGCCCAGCCUCCUGAAGCCUCGGGGCUGGGCCCUGCGGUGAUGGGCGUGCUGGCCGUCGCAGAGCCCUCUGGGAGUUGUAGUCCGUAGCGGCGAGAGGUUUGACAGCGACCGCGGGCUUGGCGCAUUCAGAACUCCAACUCCCGCCGGCCCCUGCGACCCAGGCUAUUGCCGCUUCCUGUUUGGACUAGGAGCCCCGCGGUCGCAAAUUGCGAGAAUUUGGGAAGGGAAUCUUUAUCUUCUCGUCUAGUUCUCCGAGGUUGAAGGCUCGGCCUGCUCAGAGAAGGAAACUGAGGUCCACCGAGUUGGAGAAACCUACUCAACACCAGGACUAACUUCUUCAGUGCUUAGAGUGUGAGAAAAAUGGCAAAUAUGAAUAGUGAUUCUAGGCAUCUUGGCACCUCUGAGGUAGAUCAUGAAAGAGAUCCUGGACCUAUGAAUAUCCAGUUUGAGCCAUCGGAUCUAAGAUCCAAAAGCCGCCUGCCUUGGCCUCCCAAAGUGCCGAGAUUGCAGCCUCUGCCCGGCCGCCACCCCGUCUGGGAAGUGAGGAGCGUCUCUGCCUGGCCGCCCAUCGUCUGGGAUGUGAGGAGCCCCUCUGCCUGGCUGCCCAGUCUGGAAAGUGAGGAGCGUCUCUGCCCCGCCGCCAUCCCAUCUGGGAAGUGAGGAGCGCCUCUUCCCGGCCACCAUCACAUCUAGGAAGUGAGGAGCGUCUCUGCCCCGCUGCCCAUCGUCUGGGAUGUGGGGAGCGCCUCUGCCCCGCCGCCUCGUCUGGGAUGUGAGGAGCGCCUCUGCCCGGCCGCCACCCCGUCUGGGAGGUGAGGAGCGUCUCUGCCCGGCCGCCCCGUCUGAGAAGAGAGGAGACCCUCCGCCCGGCAGCCGCCCCGUAUGAGAAGUGAGGAGCCUCUCCACCCGGCAGCCACCCCGUCUGGGAAGUGAGGAGCGUCUCCGCCCGGCAGCCACCCCGUCCGGGAGGGAGGUGGGGGGGUCAGCCCCCCGCCUGGCCAGCCGCCCCGUCCGGGAGGUGAGGGGCGCCUCUGCCCGGCCGCCCCUACUGGGAAGUGAGGAGCCCCUCUGCCCGGCCAGCCGCCCCGUCCGGGAGGGAGGUGAGGGGGUCAGCCCCCCGCCCGGCCAGCCGCCCCGUCUGGGAGGGAGGUGGGGGGGGUCAGCCCCCCGCCCGGCCAGCCGCCCCGUCCAGGAGGUGAGGGGCGCCUCUGCCCGGCCCGCCCCUACUGGGAAGUGAGGAGCCCCUCUGCCUGGCCAGCCGCCCCGUCCGGGAGGGAGGUGGGGGGGUCAGCCCCCCGCCCGGCCAGCCGCCCCGUCCGGGAGGGAGGUGGGGGGGUCAGCCCCCCGCCCGGCCAGCCGCCCAGUCCGGGAGGGAGGUGGGGGGAUCAGCCCCCCGCCCGGCCAGCCGCCCGUCCGGGAGGUGAGGGGCGCCUCUGCCCGGCCGUCUCUACUGGGAAGUGAGGAGCCCCUCUGCCCAGCCAGCCGCCCCGUCCGUGAGGGAGGUGGGGGGGUCAGCCCCCCGCCCGGUCAGCCGCCCGGUCCGGGAGGGAGGUGGGGGGGUCAGCCCCCCACCCGGCCAGCCGCCCCGUCCGGGAGGGAGGUGGGGGGGUCAGCCCCCCGCCCGGCCAGCCGCCCCGUCCGGGAGGGAGGUGGGGGGGUCAGCCCCCCGCCCGGCCAGCUGCCCCGUCCGGGAG